AUUUGUAAAUAAUGAGAAGAGGACAGAACUAGACAGAUUCUUUAAUAUAUACAGAAGAGAUUAAAAUGUUGAUGUAGAAAAGCCCUGUAAUCAAUGCUUGGUGCGGGGAGGUAAUGGAGAAAGAUGUGGUAUGGUAGAAGGUGAAGAAAAUAGGUAAAAUUAAGGGACGCUCCUAGCUCAGCUUUUAUUUUUUCCUCAUUUAGGAAUUUUCUAUAUGAGGACCAGAUUCCAAUUAGGGGAUUUUUCCCUUUUGGAUCUAUACCCAGAGGUUAACACCCAGGGUUUGUUGAAUGAAUGCCUCUUGUAUAUGAGAGGAUGGGGUAUGUUUGGUAUGAAAGUGGUAGUUGGGGUGGGGGCUCAUCCUCAGAAUAGAAAGAAGUUUAGAAAUAAGUUCAACAAGUAUAUAGGUGAUGGAUAUCAGAGUUGGAAGAAACCCAAGAAUAGAUUAAAAAAGAGAAAUGGUUAAAAUUAUAUCGUUAAAUGUUCAAGGUUUAAAUUACCCUAGUAAACGAGCAAUUUUGUUUGAUUACAUUAAGAAAGAAAAAGCUAAUAUCAUCUUUCUACAGGAGACACACUGGAAGAGAGAUGAUAAGUUAAGAUUCAUUCCACAAAGUUUUUCAACAGUAAUAUCUGCCACAUUAGAGAAUCAGGGGAAAAGAGGUGUAGCCAUUAUGAUAAUCAUAUCAUAUAAUCAUAUACCAAGAAUUAGAC